GCCUGAUGAGGAAGAAAUCCCAAAAGAUAGGAAGUGCCGUAUGACACUCUUUACGCAGCGGCGGACUU
rfam:Eutrema salsugineum unplaced genomic scaffold scaffold_14, whole genome shotgun sequence.